CUCGGUGAUUGCCAUGUGGAUGAUGCGGCCGUCGUUCGGGUCGACGUGACGUUCGAUCAAUCCGAACUUUUCGAGU
rnacentral:tRNA from 1 species